AUUGAACGCUGGCGGCAGGCCUAACACAUGCAAGUCGAACGAGUGGCGGACGUGUGAGUACUGUCUGGGAAACUGCCCGAUGGAGGGGGAUAACUACUGGAAACGGUAGCUAAUACCGCAUACCAUCAGAUGUGCCCAGAUGGGAUUAGCUUGUAGGUGGGGUAACGGCUCACCAAGGCGACGAUCCCUAGCUGGUCUGAGAGGAUGACCAGCCACACUGGAACGGAGACACGGUCCAGACUCCUACGGGAGGCAGCAGUGGGGAAUAUUGCACAAUGGGGGCAAGCCUGAUGCAGCCAUGCCGCGUGUAUGAAGAAGGCCUUAGGGUUGUAAAGUACUUUCAGCGGGGAGGCGUUACGCGCAGAAGAAGCACCGGCUAACGCCGUGCCAGCAGCCGCGGUAAUAC
rnacentral:rRNA from 1 species